rnacentral:rRNA from 1 species
AUGGCUCCAUACCGACUAGCAACAUUUGGUUUUCGAGGUACCUUGAAACUACAGAACAAAUAUUAUGGUCUUUUCAGUGUAGUUCAUAGAAUUGGUAACUCUGCUUACAAACUCCAAUUUCCGGCACAUGUCAAGAUACACCCAAUCUUUCAUGUCAGACAGUUGAAGAAGCAUUUGGGGAAGAAAUCUAUCCCUAGUCCAGAUCUGCCAAUGGUCAAUGAGGAUGGUUCAAUCAAAACCGAACCAACUAUGGUGCUUGAAGUGAGACAAGUACCAAGACACAACCUGCCUGUUGUUCAAUGGCUGAUUCAGUGGGAAAACAUGGCACCCGAAGAUGCUACCUGGGAAGAUGAUGAAUUCAUAAAGCAUACAUUUCCAGCGUUCUUUCGUUCGACAGCUCAAGCAUGGAGAUCAGUCUCAUAA